CAACCUGCCGAUGACUCGGGGAUAGCCUUUCGAAAGAAAGAUUAAUACCCGAUGGCAUAGUUCUUCCGCAUGGUAGAACUAUUAAAGAAUUUCGGUCAUCGAUGGGGAUGCGUUCCAUUAGGUUGUUGGCGGGGUAACGGCCCACCAAGCCUUCGAUGGAUAGGGGUUCUGAGAGGAAGGUCCCCCACAUUGGAACUGAGACACGGUCCAAACUCCUACGGGAGGCAGCAGUGAGGAAUAUUGGUCAAUGGACGAGAGUCUGAACCAGCCAAGUAGCGUGAAGGAUGACUGCCCUAUGGGUUGUAAAUUUCUUUUAUACGGGAAUAAAGUGAGGCACGUGUGCCUUUUUGUAUGUACCGUAUGAAUAAGGAUCGGCUAACUCCGUGCCAGCAGCCGCGGUAAUACGGAGGAUCCGAGCGUUAUCCGGAUUUAUUGGGUUUAAAGGGAGCGUAGGCGGACGCUUAAGUCAGUUGUGAAAGUUUGCGGCUCAACCGUAAAAUUGCAGUUGAUACUGGGUGUCUUGAGUACAGUAGAGGCAGACGGAAUUCGUGGUGUAGCGGUGAAAUGCUUAGAUAUCACGAAGAACUCCGAUUG
rnacentral:rRNA from 1 species